rnacentral:rRNA from 1 species
CCUAGGGGAGGCAGCAGCGGGGAAUUUUGGGCAAUGGGCGCAAGCCUGACCCAGCGACGCCGCGUGAGGGAUGAAGGCCUUCGGGUUGUAAACCUCUUUCAGUAGGGAAGAAGCGAAAGUGACGGUGUGACGGUACCUGAAGAAGAAGCACCGGCUAACUAUGUUCCAGCAGCCGCGGUAAU